CUGGGAAGAGAGCUGACAACCUUCUGUGGUAAGGGGUGAACAUCCUUGGGAAGCCACAGAGAGCAAGGCGCAGUUUUUCAUUGAUCACCACUUUCAAGAUGCUCCCAGAAUCGUGCUGUCUAGGAAGCCAUUUAAACUGGUGAGAAGCCAUCCUCUCUUGAAUGGGGGCUCCCACUGUACAUCUGGCACCCACUUCACAGAUUCUGGGGGAUGUCAACACCAGCACUGCUGAGCUGUGUGACCUUGAGCAAGACAGUUAGCCUCUCUGAACCUCAGUGUCCUUCUCUGUAGGCUGGAGAUUGAUAUACCUUCAUUAUCGGGGUAUGAGAGUGUUAUAAGGUGGGAUGGUGGAACACGCUGACUGGUCUGGGCUAUUCAAGAUCCAUGAACUGGAAGAUGCUUUCUUAUAACUCAGAGAAAAGAGAUGAAAAUGAAUCAAAGAACAGGAAGGAGACAAGCUCAGGAGAGUCACCCUAAGAAGGAUGUGUGGAAGACUUGACUGGAGGAUCAAAAUGUGUCGGGGGAAGGUGUACAAGGAGGAGUAAGGACACAGAUGUCCUGACUUCACACAGUGGGGGAUUAGAAGCCACCAUCAAACACAGAUGAAACAGGAAUAAAAGUAGUAGUACAUUACUUAAGCUUUAAAAGGGUAAGACUCCUGGGAAUUUGGAAGCUGAGACUUGAGGCAAGUAUUUAGGAUUUGCUGUCUCACCUCCCUGCUAUGACAGUCCUUAAUUAAUGGAGAUGAUGGAGAACAGCUUGCUGGGCUGAGUGGCAGGAGCCAUGCAGCUGCUGGGGCUGGAGUGGGUCAGGAAGCUUCAUCAAUCUGGGACACAUGACGUGCUUGGUGGUGGCGGAGCCUGACGCAUCCCUCUUCAUCGACAUUGUGUCAAUAGGAGCAGAGGCAUUUAGCUGUGUAAACACAGAGCUUCAGUGGCAGCACCCUAAAUGCUUAGCUGAUAGAUCCGGAAUUAAAUACAGACCUAGAAACUGGAGUUGGAAAACUUCCUGGCAGCACUCCUUCCCUGCCAUCCCGGUGAUCCCCUUCUGGAUGGAGGGUGUGGAGCUCAGCACAUUCACGUCUGCAGUUCUCAGAGAACCAAGUGUUAAGGAAUGUCAGGGAAGGAAGAAGGCAGCCAGCCAGGAAGGGGAGGUCCUGGCCUGAGCACGCCAGGCACAGAGGGAUAGAGGGUAGGGAGGAAACUGCACCUGUCUCCAACCCUCGACCCCAGCCCCGAAACACGACAUUGGCUGAAACAGAUUAAAAGCAUAAAAUGGCCCAAAGAAAUGGGAGAAGGUUGGCCUCUGGUCGGGCAAACAUGAGGGCAUGAAGAUAUAUAAUGUCCCACACGGGAGGAAACCCUUGCCGGGCCCCUCAGGAUUUAUAACAAGCUCACCUGAAGGAGAAACUUCAGGGGCACUUACACCAUCAGAUACCUAGAAAGGAGCUGUCAUUUCCUCACUGAAGAGUUUGCAAGCAGAUGGUAAAAGGGGUUUAAUUUGAAAACACUGAAACAUCGUGUUCGCUCAAAACCAUGACAAUUGCAGUUUUAUUGUCUCCACUCAGGAAAAUGUGUGUCUGGAUCAUCUUGUGGCCCGAAUGGGGAGAAAAGCAGCACAAGAAUGGAAUAGUACAGUGGCUACGAACACAGAAACCACACUCCAGGCCCAGUCCCCGGCAGUGGCCUCCAGGACCCACUCUGAGCUAGAUCACAUCAGUGAUGGGCUGGCCAAUCUUUAAGGAGAAUGACUCUACUCUUAGGAAGCCAGCAGGUUGGAGGAGGAAACACAUUCAAAUCCCGAGCACAAGGAGCUGGGAGAAGACCGGUUAUGGGAGCGGCAUUCCUGGAAGCUCUGAAGUCACAGCCCCACUGAUGAAAGGAUGUAAGAACCUAAGAGUGGAAACCUGCCCCUGGGAUUCAUAUGGUGUCCCCUCAGGACUCAAACCCUGGUCUGGAGGAAAGAUGAAAGAAAGAAAAUUAAGGAAAAGAGGAAAACAAGCAAAAAACUCAGCAAAGAUGUCAUUGCAUAAUAGUCCAUUAUGCCUCCAAUUGAGCCGUCAUGAACUAUCAAAGAAAUAAUUGCGCAAUAAGCCCAUAAUGGCUUAAUCGUGUCAACAUCUUUGCAUUUACAUAUUUUUUUAAUCAAUGGAAAUUAAG
rnacentral:lncRNA from 1 species